rnacentral:lncRNA from 1 species
UCUAAGGCUUCUAGAACAAGGAAAAACACCAGAUUUAUAGGGUCUUUUAGAAAGGUUGACAUGGCACUAAUUUAGGGGUUCUAGAAGAGCAAGGGUACGACAUAUAUGUAGGGAAAGGAUAAGCCUUCUAGAAAUCAGAUAUUUAGGUCCUCUUGUAGCUGGAUUUAAGGCACAAACUGAUUUGGAUAAGAUAAGAUAGGAUAAAGUUAGAUUAGGCAAGGAUAAGAUAAGGUUGGAUAAGGUUUUGGAUAAUGUUCCUUCUUUUGAGCUGAUUCCUUAUCUUCUUUGUCUUGGAUUUAUUUUCUUCAUCUUUUCAGCACAUUCCUAGCCUCUUGAACUUCAAAUUCGUCCAUCCAUCUUGCUCCCCUUAUAAGCUAUCCAUUUGGUGCCUAAAAGUGCUCUAAAAUGCUUCAAAAUGCACAUUCUUGCCAACUUUGCCAAUUAGAUCUACAAAUACACGAAGAUAGCUAAAAACACUAUAAUAGGUAAGAACUAACAACAUAAGUGCAAGAAAACAAGCUAACUAAGUCGCAUAAAUAUGCUCCUAUCAAAUUCCCCCACACUUACCUUUUGCUAGUCCUCGAGCAAAAGAAAACAAAACAAAACAAACAAAACAUAACCUACCCUACAUAAAUUAAACUCUAAAACAUUAAACUAGACUUAAAAACACAAGACUAGACUCUAUAGACUCUAAACUGACCUAAAACACUCAAAUCAGCAAAACUAAGUUAAAAAGACUCAAUUCUAGACCUAACAAGUGAUUUGGACGAAAAUAAAACUUAAUUUGACACAAAAGACUAAAAGAAAACAGAUUACGACUUAACUAACUCAACACACACUAAAAAGACUCAAAACAGCACAAUACUAACAAUUAGACUUAAAACAGACUAUAGGGAGUGAAUUUGACGAAUUUAACUAAAUUGAGACUCAAACAACGUUUAUGGACUAAUUCUAACUAUAUUAACUCAAAACACUCUAAAGAACCUAGUUUUGACAGAUUCUGACCUAAAAAACACCAAAUAGAAAAGGGGGUUUGGUUUCGAUGAAAUUGAAGUAAAACUAAACAUAUUGCAAAACAAAGUAACUAGAUAUGAAAUUGGUUGAAUUGAAUGGUGAAAUAGGCUAGUUAGAGGGUCCUUCUCCACACAUAAACAAAUGCAACAUAAAUCGAUUUCCAGUAUUUUUUCUUUAAACCAUGAAUGACAAUGCCCCAAAUUAAUCAUGAAUGCACAAAUUAACUUUCAGAUUUCCCUAAAUUCAUUGAAUUGAAUGGACAACGCAUCGCAACCAAAUUUUUCUUCUUAAGUUCCCUAUAUGAACAACAUGAUAGAGAUACAUUCAAAGAUCAUUAAGUUCCACGAAAAUCAUAGGCAUUGACAAGGCAAUUAUAACUAUG